rnacentral:rRNA from 1 species
CAGCCGCCGCGGGAAUACAGAGGGUGCGAGCGUUAAUCGGAUUUACUGGGCGUAAAGCGUGUGUAGGUUGUUGUUCAAGUCAGUUGUGAAAUCCCUGGGCUCAACCUGGGAACUGCUUCUGAGACUGAACGACUAGAGUACGGUAGAGGGUGGUGGAAUUUCCGGUGUAGCGGUGAAAUGCGUAGAUAUCGGAAGGAACAUCAAUGGCGAAGGCAGCCACCUGGGCCUGUACUGACACUGAGACACGAAAGCGUGGGGAUCAAACAGGAUUAGAUACCCGCGUAGUCCCUGUCUCUUAUAC